UGGCUCAGGACGAACGCUGGCGGCGUGCUUAACACAUGCAAGUCGAACGAAGCAUUGUGAAGGAGGCUUCGGCCAAUGGAUCAAAUGACUUAGUGGCGGACGGGUGAGUAACGCGUGAGCAACCUGCCUUUCAGAGGGGGAUAACGUUUGGAAACGAACGCUAAUACCGCAUGACAUAGCUUUAUCGCAUGGUAGGGCUAUCAAAGGAGCAAUCCGCUGAAAGAUGGGCUCGCGUCCGAUUAGAUAGUUGGUGGGGUAACGGCCUACCAAGUCGACGAUCGGUAGCCGGACUGAGAGGUUGAACGGCCACAUUGGGACUGAGACACGGCCCAGACUCCUACGGGAGGCAGCAGUGGGGAAUAUUGCACAAUGGGCGCAAGCCUGAUGCAGCAACGCCGCGUGAGGGAAGACGGUUUUCGGAUUGUAAACCUCUGUCCUUGGUGACGAAGAAUGACGGUAGCCAAGGAGGAAGCCACGGCUAACUACGUGCCAGCCGCCGC
rnacentral:rRNA from 1 species